UUUGGUGGCUUGACGCCGGGGUCAUACCUCUUCCCAUUCCGAACAGAGAAGUCAAGACCGGUAGUGGCGAUGAUAGUUCUACGGAGCGAAAGUAGCUAGCCGCCAGAA
rnacentral:rRNA from 1 species